CACAGACAGCAUGGUCCAGUGGAGAGGAUACUGGUCUGUAAGACAAGAGAAGUGGGUAUUUAUUGCUAAUUUGUAGUGAACAGAAGCAGCAAAUGGGAGUUUUCUGCAAGGGAGUUCUCCAGGUGAAGGAGGAGAGACUAAAUGACCUGUGGGGGACAGAAGACAGUCCAGCACAUGCUCAACAGAAACGAGGACUGAGGAAACCUCUUUCAAUCUGGACCAGAUGGAAAACCUCUGGUAUUUAACUAGAACUCUUCAAGUGAUGAAGACCUUGACCCUCAUGCUUCUCUUUGCAUCUCAGAUGGGUAACAAGACUCCUCAGUAGCUGUUAGAUGUUGCUCCAUCCAUUUUCUGAAGUCUCAUGUUAAAAAGAGGCAUUGCGAGAAGUACUUCUGUUGGCUGAAGUCCUUCGGUAGUUUACACCCAAUCUAGCCAGCACAUUGUGAAUGGACUAUUCAAGUUGAUGGCCCAUUAAAGGACACUCAGCUUACAGAAUAGAAGAAGCCCCACCGGAUGGGCCUUCCUGUGGACAUUUUAGCCAGAAUAUGGGUUAUGGCUGCUCCUAUACUCAUCAAAGCAUAUGACUUGCUCAUGUGACUCUGCACUCCAUCUUGUGCCUGUAAUUUUCCACAAACUAAGACUGAGAGCAUCCCCUUCACAUGGGAGAAGGUAUAAAAAAUCCUGAAGCAUCUCAGUUUUGCCUCUUUCCUGCUCUGAUCUCUGGACUCACACUAAAAGGAACGUUCCAACCGAUAGACUGAGGACCUUCUAAUCUUUUGGAAGUUACCAGAGACUUUACAAGCCAGCAAUUUAUUCUAUAACUGUUUCAAACCUUA